rnacentral:lncRNA from 1 species
CUUCCAUGCAAAGUUUGGGUGGUUCCUCCAGCUAGAGUUGUAUGUGUUGCCAUAGGGAGCAUUUGAAUUUGGCUUCCAUUGGCCAAUCAGGUUAGCUUGUUCCCCGAACAUUUCUCUUGCUGCUGGAAUGGUGGGACAUUCUUCCACCAUAUGUUCAAAUGACUGACAGAUGGAGCAAGGAUUGGCUUGUUGUUGAGGUUCUGAAAUAGCUUGGACUUCGUGAACUUUUCUCAACUCCAUUUCCUCUAUUUUUCUAGCCAUGGCAGCUACCUUGGCUUUCAUCUCCAUGUCUUCACUCAGAUUGUACAUUCCUCCUCUUGCCAUUCGC